CAUCUCAUGGCGUAGUGGUAACGCGCCCCAACUAGAGAUCGGGGAGUCGUGAGUUCGAUUCUCACUGAGAAGA
rfam:Aedes aegypti strain Liverpool supercont1.118 genomic scaffold, whole genome shotgun sequence.